rnacentral:rRNA from 1 species
GUAGGUGGCAAGCGUUGUCCGGAAUUAUUGGGCGUAAAGCGCGCGCAGGCGGUUCUUUAAGUCUGAUGUGAAAGCCCACGGCUCAACCGUGGAGGGUCAUUGGAAACUGGAGAACUUGAGUACAGAAGAGGAGAGCGGAAUUCCACGUGUAGCGGUGAAAUGCGUAGAGAUGUGGAGGAACACCAGUGGCGAAGGCGGCUUUCUGGUCUGUAACUGACGCUGAGGCGCGAAAGCGUGGGGAGCAAACAGGAUUAGAUACCCUGGUAGUCCACGCCGUAAACGAUGAGUGCUAAGUGUUAGGGGGUUUCCGCCCCCCUUAGUGCUGCAGCUAACGCAUUAAGCACUCCGCCUGGGAGUACGGCCGCAAGGCUG